rnacentral:rRNA from 1 species
AGAACGAACGCUGGCGGCAUGCCUAACACAUGCAAGUCGAACGAGACCUUCGGGUCUAGUGGCGCACGGGUGCGUAACGCGUGGGAACCUGCCUUGAGGUUCGGAAUAACUCCCCGAAAGGGGUGCUAAUACCGGAUAAUGUCUUCGGACCAAAGAUUUAUCGCCUUUAGAUGGGCCCGCGUUGGAUUAGCUAGUUGGUGGGGUAAAGGCCUACCAAGGCGACGAUCCAUAGCUGGUCUGAGAGGAUGAUCAGCCACACUGGGACUGAGACACGGCCCAGACUCCUACGGGAGGCAGCAGUGGGGAAUAUUGGACAAUGGGCGAAAGCCUGAUCCAGCAAUGCCGCGUGAGUGAUGAAGGCCUUAGGGUUGUAAAGCUCUUUUACCAGGGAUGAUAAUGACAGUACCUGGAGAAUAAGCUCCGGCUAACUCCGUGCCAGCAGCCGC